CUUCGGUCUCUUUUGUUACAGAAUCAGGUAUGGGCGACUUCAUAUUCUCAUUUUACUUCUCUUGGAAAUGAAAUUAAAGAUCUAGAACUAUGAUGACCACAGAGUAAAAAGUAAAGCAGUGAAACCCUUUUCCAUUGGAUGAGAUCAUACUGGAUUUCCCUUUAUAAAGUCAGCACUAUUUUUUUUCCUGCUAUUUUAAAAUUUGGAAUGAAACUAGAAGUAGUGUUCACUGGUUCUCUGGGGAGCACAAAAGUUGAUUUCCAAUGAAAGGAAGAAAAAAAUCUAGUUUUCAACCAGGUGGGGAAGAUAAGUUUGAAUCCAUGUGUAUAAAAUGUAGUUUCAGAGUUGUUGUUGUUGUUGUUGUUGUUGUUUUUUUGUGUGUGUGUGAGUAGCUGACAAGUGUCUAUGCCAGUUGGUCUGAGAGUUGCUUCUCCAGUUAGCCAAGACCCUAAGACCCAGGGUCCCCUCUAAGAUCUAAGAUGUCUGUUCUUAAUAUUAAGAGUUAAUUAAGGUAUAAUUAAGGUAUUAUUCAGUUUCAUCAACAAUAUCACUUUGGAGCAUAUCCUCACAUUUUGGGAUGCUAGUGGGCAAAGUUCUCAGGCCUUUCAAUAAAUGUUCCUGUGGCCUACAGUCUGAGGCCACGCGUGCAGGGAUGGCCCACAGUGACCAUUCUUGGGUUAGUGACUUCCUUUUUCCAUGUGGGAAGCCAAGCUAGAGUUCAGACCAAGC
rnacentral:lncRNA from 1 species